rnacentral:rRNA from 1 species
UUUAUGGAGAGUUUGAUCCUAGCUCAGGAUGAACGCUGGCGGCGUGCCUAAUACAUGCAAGUCGAGCGAACAGAUAAGGAGCUUGCUCCUUUGACGUUAGCGGCGGACGGGUGAGUAACACGUGGGUAACCUACCUAUAAGACUGGGAUAACUUCGGGAAACCGGAGCUAAUACCGGAUAAUAUUUCGAACCGCAUGGUUCGAUAGUGAAAGAUGGUUUUGCUAUCACUUAUAGAUGGACCCGCGCCGUAUUAGCUAGUUGGUAAGGUAACGGCUUACCAAGGCGACGAUACGUAGCCGACCUGAGAGGGUGAUCGGCCACACUGGAACUGAGACACGGUCCAGACUCCUACGGGAGGCAGCAGUAGGGAAUCUUCCGCAAUGGGCGAAAGCCUGACGGAGCAACGCCGCGUGAGUGAUGAAGGUCUUCGGAUCGUAAAACUCUGUUAUUAGGGAAGAACAUACGUGUAAGUAACUGUGCACGUCUUGACGGUACCUAAUCAGAAAGCCACGGCUAACUACGUGCCAGCAGCCGCGGUAAUACGUAGGUGGCAAGCGUUAUCCGGAAUUAUUGGGCGUAAAGCGCGCGUAGGCGGUUUUUUAAGUCUGAUGUGAAAGCCCACGGCUCAACCGUGGAGGGUCAUUGGAAACUGGAAAACUUGAGUGCAGAAGAGGAAAGUGGAAUUCCAUGUGUAGCGGUGAAAUGCGCAGAGAUAUGGAGGAACACCAGUGGCGAAGGCGACUUUCUGGUCUGUAACUGACGCUGAUGUGCGAAAGCGUGGGGAUCAAACAGGAUUAGAUACCCUGGUAGUCCACGCCGUAAACGAUGAGUGCUAAGUGUUAGGGGGUUUCCGCCCCUUAGUGCUGCAGCUAACGCAUUAAGCACUCCGCCUGGGGAGUACGACCGCAAGGUUGAAACUCAAAGGAAUUGACGGGGACCCGCACAAGCGGUGGAGCAUGUGGUUUAAUUCGAAGCAACGCGAAGAACCUUACCAAAUCUUGACAUCCUUUGACAACUCUAGAGAUAGAGCUUUCCCCUUCGGGGGACAAAGUGACAGGUGGUGCAUGGUUGUCGUCAGCUCGUGUCGUGAGAUGUUGGGUUAAGUCCCGCAACGAGCGCAACCCUUAAGCUUAGUUGCUAUCAUUAAGUUGGGCACUCUAAGUUGACUGCCGGUGACAAACCGGAGGAAGGUGGGGAUGACGUCAAAUCAUCAUGCCCCUUAUGAUUUGGGCUACACACGUGCUACAAUGGACAAUACAAAGGGUAGCGAAACCGCGAGGUCAAGCAAAUCCCAUAAAGUUGUUCUCAGUUCGGAUUGUAGUCUGCAACUCGACUACAUGAAGCUGGAAUCGCUAGUAAUCGUAGAUCAGCAUGCUACGGUGAAUACGUUCCCGGGUCUUGUACACACCGCCCGUCACACCACGAGAGUUUGUAACACCCGAAGCCGGUGGAGUAACCAUUUGGAGCUAGCCGUCGAAGGUGGGACAAAUGAUUGGGGUGAAGUCGUAACAAGGUAGCCGUAUCGGAAGGUGCGGCUGGAUCACCUCCUUU